CACAGGACGCUAGUUGUGAACAGGGUGUGAAGAGCCUAUUGAGCUACAUGAGAAUCCUCCGGCCCCUGAAUGCGGCUAAUCCCAACCACGGAGCAAGUGAUCGCAAACCAGUGAUUAGCUUGUCGUAACGCGCAAGUCUGUGGCGGAACCGACUACUUUGGGUGACCGUGUUUCCUUUUAUUUUUNUUCNUGGCUGCUUAUGGUGACAAUCAUAGAUUGUUAUCAUAAAGCGAAUUGGAUUGGCCAUCCGGUG
rnacentral:other from 1 species